UACGAAGGGGGCUAGCGUUGCUCGGAAUCACUGGGCGUAAAGGGCGCGUAGGCGGCGCGGUAAGUCACUUGUGAAAUCUCUGAGCUUAACUCAGAACGGCCAAGUGAUACUGCAGUGCUAGAGUGCAGAAGGGGCAAUCGGAAUUCUUGGUGUAGCGGUGAAAUGCGUAGAUAUCAAGAGGAACACCUGAGGUGAAGACGGGUUGCUGGGCUGACACUGACGCUGAGUGCGCGAAAGCCAGGGGAGCAAACGGG
rnacentral:rRNA from 1 species